ACGGCUCAGUAACACGUGGAUAACCUGCCCAAGGGUCUGGGAUAACCCCGGGAAACUGGGGAUAAUACCGGAUGGAUCACUAGUGCUGGAAUGCUUGGUGGUCGAAAGGUAACGCCUUUGGAUGGGUCUGCGGCGGAUUAGGUUGACGCCGGUGUAACGUACCGGCGUGCCUGUAAUCCGUACGGGUUGUGGGAGCAAGAGCCCGGAGAUGGAUUCUGAGACACGAAUCCAGGCCCUACGGGGCGCAGCAGGCGCGAAAACUCUACAAUGCAGGCAACUGCGAUAGGGGGACAUCGAGUGGCAUCCACCUUGGGUGCCUGUCCAACCGUCUAAAAAACGGUUGUUAGCAAGGGCCGGGUAAGACCGGUGCCAGCCGCCGCGGUAAUACCGGCGGCUCGAGUGGUGGCCGAUAUCAUUGAGUCUAAAGGGUCCGUAGCCGGCUUUGCAAGUCCCCUGGGAAAUCCAGCGGCUUAACCGUUGGGCUUUCAUGGGAUACUACAUUGCUUGGGACUGGGAGAGGUAGGAGGUACUCGGGGGGUAGGGGUGAAAUCCUGUAAUCCUCCGGGGACCACCGGUGGCGAAGGCGUCCUACCAGAACAGGUCCGACGGUGAGGGACGAAAGCUAGGGGCACGAACCGGAUUAGAUACCCGGGUAGUCCUAGCCGUAAACGAUGCCCGCUAGGUGUCACGACGGUCGUGAAUCGUCGUGGUGCCGUUGGGAAGCCGCGAAGCGGGCCACUUGGGAAGUACGGCCGCAAGGCUGAAACUUAAAGGAAUUGGCGGGGGAGCAC
rnacentral:rRNA from 1 species